UUUGUACUCCCUCCGUCCGGAAAUACUUGUCGUGGAAAUGGAUGUAUCUAGAUGUAUUUUAGUUCUAGAUACAUCCAUUUGUAUGACAAGUAAUUCCGGACAGAGGGAGUAUUUU
rnacentral:pre_miRNA from 1 species